UCGAGGAUCUUCGGCAAUGGGCGCAAGCCUGACCGAGCGACGCCGCGUGCGCGAUGAAGGCCUUCGGGUUGUAAAGCGCUGUCGAGGGGGAGGAAGGCCGCAAGGCUUGACCUAUCCCUGGAGGAAGGACGGGCUAAGUUCGUGCCAGCAGCCGCGGUAAGACGAACCGUCCUAACGUUGUUCGGAUUCACUGGGCUUAAAGGGCGCGUAGGCGGGCCAGAGGGUCCGGGGUGAAAUCUUUCGGCUUAACCGGAAAAGUGCCUCGGAAACCGCUGGCCUGGAGGGAGGUAGGGGCAUGUGGAACUUCUGGUGGAGCGGUGAAAUGCGUUGAUAUCAGAAGGAACGCCGGUGGCGAAAGCGACGUGCUGGACCUCUUCUGACGCUGAGGCGCGAAAGCCAGGGGAGCAAACGG
rnacentral:rRNA from 1 species